rnacentral:misc_RNA from 1 species
GAUGAAGAACGCAGCGAAAUGCGAUAAGUAGUGUGAAUUGCAGAAUUCAGUGAAUCAUCGAAUCUUUGAACGCACAUUGCGCCUCCUGGUAUUCCGGGAGGCAUGCCUGUUCGAGCGUCAUUAAAAUCACUCAAGCUUAGGUUUACCUAUUGCUUGGUCUUGGAGAUGGAAGCCAAUUUAUUGGAAUCCUCUUCGAAAUUCAAUGGCGAAGACCCUUGCUCUCCCAAGUGUAGUAAUAACUUAUGUCACUGAAGGAAGCGAGAAAUCUUCUGCCGUAACCCCCAUAUUUUCUAUGAUUGACCUCGGAUCAGGUAGGGAUACCCGCUGAACUUAAGCAUAUCAAUAAGCGGAGG